AGCAGCCGCGGUAAUUCCAGCUCCAAUAGCGUAUAUUAAAGUUGUUGCAGUUAAAAAGCUCGUAGUUGAAUUUCGGGGUCAGUAGGUCGGUCGUGCCACUGGUAUGAACUGGUUUUACUGAUUCCUCCCUCUUGAAGAACUGUAAUGCCAUUAAUUUGGUGUUGCAGGGAAUCAGGACUGUUACUUUGAAAAAAUUAGAGUGUUUAAAGCAGGCUUUAGCUUGAAUACAUUAGCAUGGAAUAAUGAAAUAGGACGUUUGAUCCUAUUUUGUUGGUUUCUAGGAUUUGACGUAAUGAUUAAUAGGGAUAGUUGGGGGCAUUAGUAUUCAAUUGUCAGAGGUGAAAUUCUUGGAUUUAUUGAAGACUAACUACUGCGAAAGCAUUUGCCAAGGAUGUCUUCAUUAAUCAAGAACGAAAGUUAGGGGAUCGAAGACGAUCAGAUACCGUCGUAGUCUUAACCAUAAACUAUGCCGACUAGGGAUCGGAUGAUGUUAAUUUUUUAAUGACUCAUUCGGCGCCUU
rnacentral:rRNA from 1 species